rnacentral:tRNA from 1 species
AGGGGCGUAGCUCAAUUGGUAGUAGCACUUGUCUCCAAAACAAGAGGUUACAGGUUCGACUCCUGUCGCCCCUG